AUGAACGCUGGCGGCGUGCCUAAUACAUGCAAGUCGAGCGAACAGACGAGGAGCUUGCUCCUCUGACGUUAGCGGCGGACGGGUGAGUAAUACGUGGAUAACCUACCUAUAAGACUGGGAUAACUUCGGGAAACCGGAGCUAAUACCGGAUAAUAUAUUGAACCGCAUGGUUCAAUAGUGAAAGACGGUUUUGCUGUCACUUAUAGAUGGAUCCGCGCCGCAUUAGCUAGUUGGUAAGGUAACGGCUUACCAAGGCAACGAUGCGUAGCCGACCUGAGAGGGUGAUCGGCCACACUGGAACUGAGACACGGUCCAGACUCCUACGGGAGGCAGCAGUAGGGAAUCUUCCGCAAUGGGCGAAAGCCUGACGGAGCAACGCCGCGUGAGUGAUGAAGGUCUUCGGAUCGUAAAACUCUGUUAUUAGGGAAGAACAAAUGUGUAAGUAACUAUGCACGUCUUGACGGUACCUAAUCAGAAAGCCACGGCUAACUACGUG
rnacentral:rRNA from 1 species